AUACUAUAGUCAACGUGGUAACCUUGGAGAUGAGUUUUCAUAAAACAAUUCUUCCUACUUCCUAUAAUAUCCUGGUUUACUUUCUAACAUUUUCUCUGAUAUUAGAUGGUGGAAGAUGCUGUUCAUUUUCUUAGCAAAGAAACCAUGAUCCAGGCAAUUGCUCGAUCUGCCACAAAGGUACAGCCAUUUUCUAUUACCGCUGCCAACACUUUCAUUCUAUAUUUUUGCUC
rnacentral:lncRNA from 1 species